GACGAACGCUGGCGGCGUGCUUAACACAUGCAAGUCGAACGGAAAGGCCCUGCUCUUGUGGGGUGCUCGAGUGGCGAACGGGUGAGUAACACGUGAGUAACCUGCCCUUGACUUUGGGAUAACUUCAGGAAACUGGGGCUAAUACCGGAUAGGAGCUCCUGCUGCACGGUGGGGGUUGGAAAGUUUCGGCGGUUGGGGAUGGACUCGCGGCUUAUCAGCUUGUUGGUGGGGUAGUGGCUUACCAAGGCUUUGACGGGUAGCCGGCCUGAGAGGGUGACCGGCCACAAUGGGACUGAGAGACGGCCCAGACUGCUACGGGAGGCAGCGGUGGGGAAUAUUGCACAAUGGGCGGAAGUCUGAUGCAGCAACGCCGCGUGCGGGAUGACGGCCUUCGGGUUGUAAACCGCUUUCGCCUGUGACGAAGCGUGAGUGACGGUAAUGGGUAAAAAAGCACCGGCUAACUACGUG
rnacentral:rRNA from 1 species